UACGUAGGGGGCAAGCGUUGUCCGGAUUUAUUGGGCGUAAAGAGCUCGUAGGCGGUCUGUCGCGUCUGCUGUGAAAAUCCAGGGCUCAACCCUGGACCUGCAGUGGGUACGGGCAGACUAGAGUGCGGUAGGGGAGAUCGGAAUUCCUGGUGUAGCGGUGAAAUGCGCAGAUAUCAGGAGGAACACCGGUUGCGAAGGCGGAUCUCUGGGCCGUAACUGACGCUGAGGAGCGAAAGCAUGGGGAGCGAACAGG
rnacentral:rRNA from 1 species